rnacentral:rRNA from 1 species
ACGGAAGGCAGCAGUGGGGAAUAUUGCACAAUGGGGGAAACCCUGAUGCAGCGACGCCGCGUGAGUGAAGAAGUUAUUCGUAAUAUAAAGCUCUAUCAGCAGGGAAGAAAAUGACGGUACCUGACUAAGAAGCCCCGGCUAACUACGUGCCAGCAGCCGCGGUAAUACGUAGGGGGCAAGCGUUAUCCGGAUUUACUGGGUGUAAAGGGAGCGUAGACGGUCUAGCAAGUCUGAUGUGAAAGGCAGGGGCUCAACUCCUGGACUGCAUUGGAAACUGUUAGUCUUGAGUGUCGGAGAGGUAAGCGGAAUUCCUAGUGUAGCGGUGAAAUGCGUAGAUAUUAGGAGGAACACCAGUGGCGAAGGCGGCUUACUGGACGAUAACUGACGUUGAGGCUCGAAAGCGUGGGGAGCAAACAGGAUUAGAUACCCUGGUA